AACUGAUACUACCUGCGGGAACCUGCGGAGGGAUCAUUACUGUUAAUUCAUCAUAAACACCCAGAGUUCAGACUUUGUUUGAACUCUUUGUGUGUUUGCAAACAAAAACACCCUCGAAAACAGCUUUUUAGUGUCUGAAUGUUAACUAGUUUAAUACAAAAACAACUUUUAACAACGGAUCUCU
rnacentral:misc_RNA from 1 species